AUUACUAGAUAACAUGUUUAUGUCUGUAUAUAAGGAGACUUGUUUUUUUACAACUAACUAAAUAGUUUCAAAUGUUAUUGGUAGAUGUUGGUUUUGUUGCGAGGAAAAUGAACGUUCUGGUGAUCCUUGCAGCGCUGGCCUCGGGCGGGCUCUGCCACCUGCCUUCCGGGCAACAGCUGCCCGCGCAACUGCCCACUCAACACACCGUCUAUAUACAGGAGUCCACGGCGCCGGUAAUAAUCUUAUUGCAUGUGUUUAAUUAGGAAAUGGAAUAUGUUUAACUUUGACAUCAUCAAAAAUACAUUAUUGGCGCAAUGGCGCAGCUGUACAAUA